rnacentral:rRNA from 1 species
CACGUAGGCGGAUAUUUAAGUCAGGGGUGAAAUCCCAAGACGCUCAACUCUGGAACUGCCUUUGAUACUGGGUAUCUUGAGUAUGGAAGGAGGUAAGUGGAAUUCCGAGUGUAGAGGUGAAAUUCGUAGAUAUUCGGAGGAACACCAGUGGCGAAGGCGGCUUACUGGUCCAUUACUGGCGCUGAGGUGCGAAAGCGUGGGGAGCAAACAG